UACGGAGGGUGCAAGCGUUAUCCGGAUUCACUGGGUUUAAAGGGUGCGUAGGUGGUUUUGUAAGUCAGUGGUGAAAGCCCGGAGCUCAACUCCGGAACUGCCAUUGAUACUGCUUAACUUGAAUCAACUUGAGGUGGAUGGAAUAUUACAUGUAGCGGUGAAAUGCUUAGAUAUGUAAUAGAACACCGAUUGACGAAGGCAGUUCACUAAGGUUGUAUUGACACUGAGGCACGAAAGCGUGGGGAUCAAACAGG
rnacentral:rRNA from 1 species